AGAGUUUGAUCAUGGCUCAGAACGAACGCUGGCGGCAUGCCUAACACAUGCAAGUCGAACGAGACCUUCGGGUCUAGUGGCGCACGGGUGCGUAACGCGUGGGAAUCUGCCCUUGGGUUCGGAAUAACAGUUAGAAAUGACUGCUAAUACCGGAUGAAGUCUUCGGACCAAAGAUUUAUCGCCCAGGGAUGAGCCCGCGUAGGAUUAGCUAGUUGGUGGGGUAAAGGCCUACCAAGGCGACGAUCCUUAGCUGGUCUGAGAGGAUGAUCAGCCACACUGGGACUGAGACACGGCCCAGACUCCUACGGGAGGCAGCAGUGGGGAAUAUUGGACAAUGGGGGCAACCCUGAUCCAGCAAUGCCGCGUGAGUGAUGAAGGCCUUAGGGUCGUAAAGCUCUUUUACCCGGGAUGAUAAUGACAGUACCGGGAGAAUAAGCCCCGGCUAACUCCGUGCCAGCAGCCGCGGUAAUACGGAGGGGGCUAGCGUUGUUCGGAAUUACUGGGCGUAAAGCGCACGUAGGCGGGUACUCAAGUCAGAGGUGAAAGCCCGGGGCUYAACCCCGGAACUGSCUUUGAAACUAGGUGACUAGAAUCUU
rnacentral:rRNA from 1 species